rnacentral:lncRNA from 1 species
CGGGAAGGAGGGGUGUGGCCUAGACCACUGAGGGCCGUGACGGGGUGCCCCUGAGCUUGGACCCCAACCAGAAGAUAGAGAUUGAAACGAUGAGGAAAACGAAGUGCCUAAUCCCCGUUGGACGCUAACUACAGGGAACAUGGAGGAGACAUAUUUCCGCCUAUUUCUCUCCAUAAGUAUAAAAGACCAUAAAAGACCAUCUAGGGACUUCAGAACCCAAAUAAUGACACAAUGUUAAUUUGCAGAUUCUCCCUCUGCCUGCCACCCCACCCAGCAAGGAGGAGAGGAAGUGUUGAGAAGGGAAGAGAUGAGUCCUGGCUCUGUCACUUCUUAGGGGUGUGCUUUUGAACAACCUGCUCACCAUGUAUGAACUUCACUCUUCUUGUUUAUAAAAUGAGGACAAUGACACCUGCAAGACUGUGAGGUUUAAAAACAAAAUCUGUGUUGAGAGGUAACUUGCCUCUUUUACUUACCAAUGAUUUCCUCAAUGCCUGGCGACUGGGACUGGUUCAUACUAGACGAUCAAUAAAUGCUCCUUGAAUGAAUAGGUGGAUGAAAGAAAUGUCUGGCAUCUAUCACAGGUGCUGGCACUGAUAUGUGCUUGAUAAAUAGGCUGGCUGACUGUGAGUGAUGCUGACGGGCAAAGGACAGAGACACCAGGAAAGAGAACAGGACACGAAAGAUAACUGUCUCAGCCCUUGGGGAGUUUCUGACCCGGGAGGAUGGGAACAGCAAUUAACAAUAGUUACAGAUCAUUAAAUAAUUGCAAGUGUGAGGCGCACUAUAAAGAGGAGGCUCAGAGUCCCUGCAUGCUCACACUCACA